UACGUAGGGGGCUAGCGUUGUCCGGAUUUAUUGGGCGUAAAGAGCGUGUAGGCGGUCCGGUAAGUCAGCUGUGAAAGUCAAGGGCUCAACCCUUGAAUGCCGGUUGAUACUGUCGGGCUAGAGUCCGGAAGAGGCGAGUGGAAUUCCCGGUGUAGCGGUGAAAUGCGCAGAUAUCGGGAGGAACACCCAGGGGGAAACCAGUCGACUGGGCAUCUACUGACGCUGAGGUGCGAGAGCGUGGGGAGCGAACCGG
rnacentral:rRNA from 1 species